AAAGCUUUAAGUUAUUAAUAAACUAUUAACCUUCAAAGUUAAAAAUACAUUUAAAUUAUGUAAGCUUUA
rnacentral:tRNA from 1 species